AUUGAACGCUGGCGGCAGGCCUAACACAUGCAAGUCGAGCGGAUGAGGGAAGCUUGCUUCCCGAUUUAGCGGCGGACGGGUGAGUAAUGCCUAGGAAUCUGCCUAUUAGUGGGGGAUAACGUUCCGAAAGGAACGCUAAUACCGCAUACGUACUACGGGAGAAAGUGGGGGAUCUUCGGACCUAACGCUAAUAGAUGAGCCUAGGUGGGAUUAGCUAGUUGGUGGGGUAACGGCUCACCAAGGCGACGAUCCGUAGCUGGUUUGAGAGGAUGAUCAGCCACACUGGAACUGAGACACGGUCCAGACUCCUACGGGAGGCAGCAGUGGGGAAUAUUGGACAAUGGGCGAAAGCCUGAUCCAGCCAUGCCGCGUGUGUGAAGAAGGUCUUCGGAUUGUAAAGCACUUUAAGUUGGGAGGAAGGGUUGUAAGCUAAUAUCUUGCAGCUUUGACGUUACCAACAGAAUAAGCACCGGCUAACCCUGUGCCAGCCGCCGCGGUAAAAC
rnacentral:rRNA from 1 species